rfam:Pan troglodytes isolate Yerkes chimp pedigree #C0471 (Clint) chromosome 1, whole genome shotgun sequence.
GGCUGUGGGAGCAAUCUGUGUGGUACAUCUGUGGCCCCACUGGCUGCCAGGUGUCUGGAGACCUGUGCUCCAUCUCUCCCCUCAUGCCAUGUGCCUCCCUCCUGAGGCUGUGGGCUGCAUCCAAGAGAAUGACCUUCCUCGACAGAGGAGGGCAGCUCUCCAGGAAAAGAAAUGGGAGGAACUUCCUUCUUCUGCUGGAACCCCCAACUACAGGUUUAAAAUGCUGUGUGUAUGUGUGUGUGCACAUGUGUGUGUGUGUACAUCUUUAGUUAGUGAGACCACUGUAGGUGGUUUCAGGUGGU